rnacentral:rRNA from 1 species
GGGGAAUAUUGCACAAUGGGGGAAACCCUGAUGCAGCAACGCCGCGUGAGUGAUGACGGUCUUCGGAUUGUAAAGCUCUGUCAUCUGGGACGAUAAUGACGGUACCAGAUGAGGAAGCCACGGCUAACUACGUGCCAGCAGCCGCGGUAAUACGUAGGUGGCAAGCGUUGUCCGGAAUUACUGGGCGUAAAGGAUGUGUAGGCGGAUAUUUAAGUGAGAUGUGAAAUCCCCGGGCUUAACUUGGGGGCUGCAUUUCAAACUGAAUGUCUAGAGUGCAGGAGAGGAAAGCAGAAUUCCUAGUGUAGCGGUGAAAUGCGUAGAGAUUAGGAAGAAUACCAGUGGCGAAGGCGGCUUUCUGGACUGUAACUGACGCUGAGGCAUGAAAGCGUGGGGAGCAAAC